AUUGAACGCUGGCGGCAUGCCUUACACAUGCAAGUCACGGGGGCCCGCGAGGGCAACCGGCGAACGGGUGCGUAACACGUGAGCAACCUGCCCUCGUGUGGGGGAUAGCCGGGCUAACGCCCGGGUAAUACCGCAUACGGUCAUCGGGAGGAGUCUCCUGGUGAAGAAAGCUCCGGCGCACGGGGAGGGGUUCGCGGCCUAUCAGCUAGUUGGUGCGGUAACGGCGCACCAAGGCGACGACGGGAGCUGGUCUGAGAGGAUGGCCAGCCACAUUGGGACUGAGAGACGGCCCAGACUCCUACGGGAGGCAGCAGUGGGGAAUCUUGCGCAAUGGCCGAAAGGCUGACGCAGCGACGCCGCGUGUGGGAGGACGCCUUUCGGGU
rnacentral:rRNA from 1 species